rnacentral:rRNA from 1 species
UACGGAGGGUGCGAGCGUUGUCCGGAAUCACUGGGCGUAAAGGGCGCGUAGGCGGCGCGGGGAGUCAGCGGUGAAAGCUCGGCGCUCAACGCCGAGUCGGCCGUCGAUACUCCCGUGCUUGAGCACUGUAGAGGCAGGUGGAAUUCCGGGUGUAGCGGUGGAAUGCGUAGAGAUCGGGAGGAACACCUGUGGCGAAGGCGGCCCCCUGGGCCGGCCCUGACACUGAGACGCGAAGGCGUGGGGAGCGAACGGG